UCAUCCUGUCCUCACAAUGGCUGGUGUGGAGACCCACAGACUUCAUCCUUAGGACGGACCUUCAGGCACCCAGGCUGCCUACUGACCUCCCUGGCAUGGGUGGGAACCGGGAGCUCGUUGGUAAGCAGGAGGAUUCAGGACUAUCGACUGAACCCCACCUCCUCUGUGGCACGCACCGUGCUGUGUCUUUGCAGUCAUCAUCUCAUCACCUCUGCACAGGAAGAUUAUCUCCCCCAUUUUGUGAUGAGGAAAUGGAGGCUCCAGGUGGAAAGAUGCAACCUGGGCCAGAGGCCCCUGGAGGUUGUGCCUGAACCCAGACAGAUCACACAAACCUGAGCAGCCAUUAGCCGCUGUGUGGGCUCCUUUGCACUGUGGGGCUGCUCCUGGGGAUAUUUACGUUGUGAACUGGUAAAAUCUGAACUGCAGAAUAUCAAUUUCCAGACAUUCUUCCUAGAUGAUGCCGUCUGCCACGGAGACCAUGUAGAUGGAUUGAAUGGGGAUAUGAUGAGGAUGACCACCCCUGCAUUUGCUAAGUUCUUGGGAGUGGCAUCGAUCUCAGCCAUUCCACUGGAAUAGGGUCAGGAAACAAAACGUGAGGGCUCUACCAGCUGCUCAGUCUAUCCUUUCCAAUUGAGCACACUGGAACUGAGGAAGCAAAGACAGGGUGAGCCCUAACACCCUCAUCAUCACUGCUGAGCCUGCCUUGACAAGAACUCCAUUUAUCACCCGCCUCCAUAAUAGCCCAUUCUAACUAGCUGUCAUCGUGGCAUUUCAGGUUCUGCUGAUGUCAUUAUAAUGGACCUUAACUAGUGGGCUGAAGGCAAUGAGGGGAUGUGAGGAUGCAUCUUGUGAAGGACAAAAGUCAUCCU
rnacentral:lncRNA from 10 species